GACCGUUCCGGUGGCCUAGUGGUUAGAGCUUCUGCCUUGGUUGCGGGAGGUUGUGGGUUCAAUCCCUGGGUGAGUCA